UACGUAGGGUGCAAGCGUUGUCCGGAAUUAUUGGGCGUAAAGAGCUCGUAGGCGGUUCGUCGCGUCGGCUGUGAAAAACCUGAGGCUCAACCUCAGGCCUGCAGUCGAUACGGGCGGACUUGAGUACUGCAGGGGAGACUGGAAUUCCUGGUGUAGCGGUGAAAUGCGCAGAUAUCAGGAGGAACACCGGUGGCGAAGGCGGGUCUCUGGGCAGUAACUGACGCUGAGGAGCGAAAGCGUGGGAGCGAACAGG
rnacentral:rRNA from 1 species